CUCUCUUUCUCAGUUCAUCAGUGGCAGAGAGUUUAGCGUUUUAGGGGGUUUUUAUUUUCAGGGUUCAGGGGUUUUUUUAUUUUGGAGGGAGAAUGCUAAUCAUUCUCUGAUGAAGAAAAGAGAUCUAUUUUCUUUCAUCUUCAGCCAUGAUAUCAAAUUAUAAGGGCACUGCGUUGGAAGUGGGUCAAUGAUGGUGGAAAAAUUGCCGCCAAAUGAGCUAGGUAACUGCAGUUAGCAGCAGAUCCACCGUGCAGGUAACCACUGACAAUGCUCAAGUGGAGUCAACUAUCCUGCAGCUGCAAGCACAGGCAGCUGAUGAAGCGGGAGGAAGUAGAGGUUUAAAAGCAACCAAAUUGGGCAAUACAGCUCAAGCUGCACCUUGUCAUCCUGGCGCAACAUGAUGUUAGCUAGUGAACAAACCAAAAGGUACUCUCGUUUUGCAGCGACUCAAGGGUACUGUACGAACCCUAGCUUACCAUUUUAUGUUUUGCACCACCUUUAGAGUUGGCGACUAAAGGUGAAUUCAUUGGAAAAGGAGUUACAUAUCUAAGAUUCUUUGCUCAUGAAGAUGCAGAUAUCCAAAGUCGAACUUAUUUUUUUUAACCAAAGGGAUAUAUAUUAAACAUUAUAUAGAACAGCUCGAUUGUUCUGAUAAAUGUUUUCAGACUAUCUGACAAAAAACGGAUAGAAAAUGCACAAGCGUUUGAUACCAGCAGCUCUUUUAUUAGUGCAUUUUGCACAUGCAAAUAAGUAAUUGUAAACAUCUGCCGGUAUGUGUUCAUUUUAUUAAUCUCUUUGACUUCUAA